rnacentral:rRNA from 1 species
AACGAACGCUGGCGGCAUGCCUAACACAUGCAAGUCGAACGAGAUCUUCGGGUCUAGUGGCGCACGGGUGCGUAACGCGUGGGAAUCUGCCCUUUGGUUCGGAACAACAGUUGGAAACGACUGCUAACACCGGAUGAUGACGAAAGUCCAAAGAUUUAUCGCCAGAGGAUGAGCCCGCGUAGGAUUAGCUAGUUGGUGUGGUAAAGGCGCACCAAGGCGACGAUCCUUAGCUGGUCUGAGAGGAUGAUCAGCCACACUGGGACUGAGACACGGCCCAGACUCCUACGGGAGGCAGCAGUGGGGAAUAUUGGACAAUGGGCGAAAGCCUGAUCCAGCAAUGCCGCGUGAGUGAUGAAGGCCUUAGGGUUGUGAAGCUCUUUUACCCGGGAUGAUAAUGACAGUACCGGGAGAAUAAGCUCCGGCUAACUCCGUGCCAGCAGCCGCCGUAA